GGUUGACCUCGGAUCAGGUAGGGAUACCCGC
rnacentral:rRNA from 4 species